rnacentral:tRNA from 1 species
AUUUAAAUAGUUUAAAAAAAAUUUUGAAAUGUGGAUUCAAAGAUGUAAAAUUACUUUAAAUU